UGACUCUAAAAUAGAGCGGAGGUGGUACGUCAGUCAAAAUCUCUUUUUUGUUUUUCUAUUUUUUCUGUUAACCUGCAAAAAUUAAGCAUGGCGGAUAUGAGUGUAAAAUUGUAAAAUCUGAGAUCACAAGCGGAAUGAGGAGAUCCAGCUGCGGGGGCGGAAGAGAAGGAACAUUUCCCCAAAUUAAUUUCCUCCUCAAUAAGGGCAAGAAAGAUGAAGGGAAGGCGCAAGUUAAUAUCCCCCGGCUACCCCGGACGAACCAACUUCACAACAGAUGAGCAAAUCGAGUCCAUGUACAGGCUAUUGCGAAAUCAUGAACAAGUUUGGAACCCGCAGAGGUCGAGGAUAUCGAGGAAAGUUCAAAAUCUACAGCAUAUGAGCGAUCUAAGUGUUGGCCCUCACACAGCAAACGGUAACUCUGAUUAUCUCGAAUCGGAUUCUAUAUUGCACCAUUGUUCAACAUCGAAAAUUUCUUAAUUAUUUUCUUUAGGCACAGAAUUUUACCAUGUUCUGUCAAUUUCCAGAAGCAUAGUUUUUAAUUUAC